UACGUAGGGUGCGAGCGUUAAUCGGAAUUACUGGGCGUAAAGCGUGCGCAGGCGGUUCGUUGUGUCGGUGGUGAAAGCCCCGGGCUUAACUUGGGAAUGGCCAUGGAAACUGGCGAACUGGAGUGUGGCAGAGGGGGGUGGAAUUCCGCGUGUAGCAGUGAAAUGCGUAGAGAUGUGGAGGAACACCGAUGGCGAAGGCAGCCCCCUGGGCUAACACUGACGCUCAUGCACGAAAGCGUGGGGAGCAAACAGG
rnacentral:rRNA from 1 species